rnacentral:rRNA from 1 species
GACGAACGCUGGCGGCGCGCUUAACACAUGCAAGUCGAACGGAAAGGCCUGCUUUCCCUUGUGGUUUGCGGGUACUCGAGUGGCGAACGGGUGAGUAACACGUGAGUGAUCUGCCCCCAACUUGGGUAUAAGCCUGGGAAACUGGGUCUAAUUCCCGAUAGGACUGCAGGGUGGUGCCUGUGGUGGAAAACGAUUUUCUAGUGGUUGGGGAUGAGCUCGCGGCCUAUCAGCUUGUUGGUGGGGUAAUGGCCUACGAAGGCGGCGACGGGUAGCCGGCCUGAGAGGGUGGACGGCGACAUUGGGACUGGGAUACGGCCCAGACGCCUACGGGAGGCAGCAGUGGGGAAUAUUGCACAAUGGGCGGAAGCCUGAUGCAGCGACGCCGCGUGGGGGAUGACGGCCUUCGGGUUGUAAACUCCUUUCGACCGCGAGGAAGCCACCUGGUUGGAAGGGUGGUGACGGUAGUGGUAGAAGAAGCACCGGCUAACUACGUG